UCUUCCCCCUCGAUAAUUAUUGUAUGUACCAGGGCGUCGAAAUCUACUCCAAAUCUAUCGUCCAGAUUAUAUAGAAAUUUUUAAUACAAAUAACUUGCGGGCGUUUUUUUGGCGGAAGUCGGACACACUUAGAAAAAGAUUGUAACCAGCGCUGGCAACUGUAACUUACAUUUUCAUUCAUUGUAAAAGAAUGCAGGCCGCAGGAGGAUUAUUUACGUACGCCACUUGGCCGCAACAACCGGUUAGGACUCGAUGAGGAUGCUGACUCUUUUGACGUCAGGCCUACCGAGCCGACCACUCUUUGAUUCUCAGAACUUUGGCGUACCAGGGCUUAGCCUCAACCACGGACUGGGCAGCGGCGCUUUCUUUAUAUAAAAAUUUGCUGACCUCCUCCACCGAAAACUUGGAGGGGUCAGAUAUCUAGCCGUCUUUUGUUGGGGUGUUAUCUUAAAAGAAAAAACACAGCAUCGAAACACCAAAAAGACAUACACUAUUAGAACAACAGAAACUUACAAAAUUUUGGUCACACACACACAUACAUAACAAUCGGCAAAUAAAAAUAAAAAAUUUUACGAAAACUUUAA